UACGAAGGGGGCUAGCGUUGCUCGGAAUCACUGGGCGUAAAGCGCACGUAGGCGGCUUCUUAAGUCAGGGGUGAAAUCCUGGAGCUCAACUCCAGAACUGCCUUUGAUACUGAGGAGCUUGAGUCCGGGAGAGGUGAGUGGAACUGCGAGUGUAGAGGUGAAAUUCGUAGAUAUUCGCAAGAACACCAGUGGCGAAGGCGGCUCACUGGCCCGGUAUUGACGCUGAGGUGCGAAAGCGUGGGGAGCAAACAGG
rnacentral:rRNA from 1 species